rnacentral:rRNA from 1 species
GAGGGUGCGAGCGUUAAUCGGAAUUACUGGGCGUAAAGCGUGCGUAGACGGCUAUCUAAGUCGGGUGUGAAAGCCCCGGGCUCAACCUGGGAAUUGCAUUCGAGACUGAAUAGCUAGGGUACGGUAGAGGGAAGUGGAAUUUCCGGUGUAGCGGUGAAAUGCGUAGAUAUCGGAAGGAACAUCAGUGGCGAAAGCGACUUCCUGGACCAGUACCGACGUUCAGGCACGAAAGCGUGGGGAGCAAACAGGAUUAGAUACCCUGGUAGUCCACGCCAUAAACGAUGAGGACUAGACGUUGGAGGGGUAAGCCUUUCAGUGUCGUAGCUAACGCGCUAAGUCCUCCGCCUGGGGAGUACGGCCGCAAGGUUG